UUCUAACUUUGCUGAUCUGGGCUUGAGGAUGAUGUUGCAAACUGCACAUGCAUCCGACCUCUAGGAGUCAUCCACACGAGCCCACGAAUCACGAUCAGAAGUCCUGGUCCAGAAAAUCAGCACAGUAUGCUUGUACUGUGCUGAUCCUUCUUCGAUGGUCGAUCAGAUGCCUCCUUCUUCUUGAUUUAGACUUUUUCAAAAAUAAAAAGUAGGAGAAGGAGUUUUAAAUGUGAGACACUCUCAAAAAACUCAU
rnacentral:lncRNA from 1 species